UCCAGCUACUUGGGUAGCUGAGGUGGGAGGAUUACUUGAGCCCAGGAGUUUGAGGCUGCACUGAGCUGUGAUUGCCACUGCACUUCAGCCUGGGAGACAGAGGAAGACCCUGUAUCUGUUCCCCCCCGAAAUUUAGCGAUUGUAUUCCUUUACAUCGUACUGUAGAGAGUUGAUGUUUGUGUUCACUCCCUAACCUCAUUCCACUUUCCCCUGCAAGUAUACUUCAGAAUAUCUCAGAUCCAAUUCAAAAUUUAAUCUUAAAAGGUGUAAUUAUUUUCACAGUUUCAUAGUUUAGUUUUGAUCACUGAAAGCAUUUCUUUCGUUUUGUCUAAUUGAACAAAUUUAUGCAAAGAAUUGGGGACUUACUCCUCAUUAGCAUUGUUCAUCUAUAGGUGGAAAUAAGUUCAAGUAUGUGUCGCAGUAUUAAUUAAAGGCAAAGUGAUCUAUUUGUAUUACAUUCUGAAUAAAUACUUAUUGAAUGAAUGAAAAAUAGAAGUAUGAUUCAAUUAUUUUAGAAUCUUAAGUUAUACAGAUUUAUGUAAUGUCUAUUUUGAUUUUUAUUAAUUAACCAUGAAUUUAUCCUACUCUAGUACUGAGAAAAAGAAAAUGGAACUGUGGGUCCUUCUUUCAUAUGAUACUUAGGAAUGUAUCUGCACUGUAUCCAGAAGGUCUGCUGGAUUUGCUCAAGGUCCACUCCAGACCCUGUUUGCCUGGGUAUCACCGGUGGAGGCUGCAGAACAGCAAAGAUUGCUAACUGUUCCUUCCUCUGGAAGCUUUUUCCCAGAGGGUCACCCACCAGAUGCCAGCCAGGGCUCUCCUGUAUGAGGUGACUGUUGGCCCUACUGGGAAGUUUCUCCCAAUCGGGAUACACAGGGGUCAGGGUCCCACUUGAGGAAGCAGUCUAUCCCUUAUCAGAGGUUGAACACUGUGUUAGUAGAUCUGCUGCUCUCUUCAGAACUACCAAGCAGGGAUAUUUAAGUCAGCUGAAGCUGCGCCUACAACCGCCCCUUCCCAGAGUUGCUCUGUCCCAGGGAGGUGGGGGUUUUAUCUAUAAGUCACUGACUGGGGCUGCUGCCUUUUUUUCCGAGAGGGAAUCUAGAGGAGGCAGUCUGGCCUCAGAGGCCUUGCUUAGCUGUGGUGGGCUUCACCCAGUUUGAACAUCCUGGUGGCUUUGUUUACACCGAUGAGGGGGAAACUGCCUACUCAAACCUCAGCAAUGGUGGAUGCCCCUCCACCCACCAAGCUCGAGUGUCCCAGGUUGAGCUCAGAUUGUUGUGUUGUGCUGGCCGCAAGACUUUCAAGCCAGUAUAUCUUAGCUUGCUGGGCUCCGUGGGAGUGGGACUCGCCGAGCCACAGCACUUGGCUCCCUGGCUUCAGCCCCCUUUCCAGGGGAGUGAACGGUUCUGUCUCUCUGGCUUUCCAGGUCCCACUGGGGUAUGAGAAAUAAACUCCUGCAGCUAGCUCAGUGUCUGCCCAAAUGCCCACCCAGUUUUGUGCUGGAAACCCAGGGUCCCUGGUGGUGUAGGCACUGGAGGGAAUCUCCUGGUCUGCAGGUUGCAAAGACUGUGGGAAUAGCGCAGUAUCUGGGCCAGAAUGCACGGUACAGUACCAAGUGGCUUCCCUUGGCCGACAGGGAGUUCCCCGACACCUUGCACUUCCCAGGUGAGGUCAUACCACACCCUGCUCCACCUCGCCCUCCUUGGGCUACACCCACAGUCCAACCAGACCCAAUGAAGUGAACUGUGUAACUCAGUUGGAAAUGCAGAAAUCACCCACCUUCUGCAUUGAUCUCGUUGGGAGCUGCAGACCAAAGCUGUUCCUAUUUGACCAUAUUGCCAGGCUCCCGUUGUUCUGGGAAUUUUUUUUUUUUUUUUUUUUUUUUUUUUUACCAUGUUAGUUUAGGUUGAUUCAGCACAAAUGCUUGCAAAACAUUUCAAUAUUUAUAUUCUAUGAAAAUGUCUACUAUUACAAAAGAGCAUCAACAUUCCAAUUAGGGCAUUUUAAGGUUUCUAACAUUAAAAACAUGAAAAAAUAUUAGGCAGAAUAUACAAUAUUUCACUAUGUAUUUUAUUUGACUCUUAUUUGAAAUAAUUAUAUGCUAAAACAAUUAAUGACUGGUAAAUAAUUGUUUGUGUUCUAAAGCAUGUGAGGCCAGUUUAAAGGAAGUGAGUAAUUGUAUUUUUUUGGUGACUGCAUUAGAAAACAAUUAUUGGGAGAUCAACUUCUGGAAAGAUCGAGUAGAUAUGCUUUCCCCCACUCCUCCUGGUAAGUACAGCUAACAACGUUAGGUCUUAUAAAACAAACAGUAAAAGAUUCUGACUUUAGCCAACACAGCUACUGUGGCCCCUCCUCCACCUCCAGCAGCAAAGGCUCCCCAACUAGGGAGUUGGGAGCCAAGACUGUCACCUGAUCUGGUGAUAAGGAAACCCUUUCAUUCCUAGUAAGAAGCCUGAACUCCCACUCUAGAUGUGGAGGAACCAGGUACCCCUCUUACCCUGGAUUUUUAACAGAGGCAGAAUGAGGAACUUAGAUUUCUAACUCUACCUGACAGUAAUAAGGUGAAGUGAGUAUCUCUUUCCCCAUUAAUGUGGUGUCAGAGGAGGUCUACUAAACCGAUUUAGAUAAGAUCUGAAUCCCAUAAUAUCUAAAAUAUUAGGUUUCAAUAAAAAACAUACCAAGAGUCAUGCAAUUCUCAACUCGAUUAAGAAAAAACCAAUAGAUGCCAAAACCAAAAUGAAUCAAAUGUUAGAAUUAUCUAACAAUUAUUUAAAGCAGUCAUCAUCAAAAUGCUUCAUGUGCAACUAGGAAAAAAAGAAAAAUAACCUCAGCAAAUAGAAAGUGACAGAAAAUAAAUAGAUGAUAUAAGAAAUAAAGAAAAUAAAGAUUAUUCACUCUGAAUAAUAAAGGUAAUAUAGACUGAAAAAAAAAUGCAAAAUGCACAGAGGCUUAGGCCCUGUGAGACUUAUAACAAAUGAUAUUUGUAUUAUUGAUAUUGCAGAAGGAGAGGAUAAUAGGUUGGGCUGAAAAGAUAUUCAAAGUAAUAACAAUUGAAAAUUUCCCCAACUUUAACAAAUGCCAUUAACCUACACAUUCAAGAAACUGAGCGAACCCCAAACAGAAUAAACUGAAUGAAAUCCAGGUCAAAACACAUCGUAAUCAAAAUUACAAAAGCUAAAGACAGAGAACCUUAAAAGCAGAGAUAGAGAAACAACACCUCACCCACUGGGGAAAACCAAAUGAAUGACAGUGCAUUUCACAUCAGAAACUAUGGAAGACAAAAGAAGUGUCACAUUUUCCAAAUGCUCCUAGAAAAGUACAGUAGGCAGUCCAAAGUUCUAUAUCUGAUGAAAGAAUCUCUGAAUAAUGAAAUAGAAGUCAGGAUAUCCUUAAUGAAAACAACUAAGAAACUGGCAGACCUAUCUUAAAAUAAUGGUUAAAGAAGGUUCUUCAAAGAGGUAGGGAAUCAUGAAGGAUUUUGGGACCAUCAGGAAGGGAGAAAUAACACUUUCUUGAGGGAGUAGAAGCAUCAAAUAUAAUAGACAUUCUUCCCUUCUUGAUUCUUCCCUUCUUGAUUUUUCUCUAUAAUUUUUAACUUAAAGCAAAAAUUACAACACUGAUCUGGUUCUCAAUGUAAUGUAAAUGUAAAGGACAUACUGAAGAUGCUUACAAAGGAGCAAGAUAAAGGGACGUAAAAGUACGUAAGGUUUUUAAACUUCAUUCAAAUUGGUAAAAUUUCAAUAUCAAUAAGUUGUGACAACUUAUAUUUAAAGUUACAUAUUCACUUAUAUAAUACCUAGAACAACCACCAAUAAAGCUAUAAAAGAAACAUAAUGAAAUUACUAGGGAUACAUCAAAAUGGAAUUCUAAAAAAAGUUCUAGUAACUCACAGGAAUGAAGGGAAAAUCAGUAAGGAAAAACAGAAGAAAUGGUAAAUAAAAAUAAUGGUGGACUUAGGUUCUAAUUAAUAAUUAUCAUAAAUCUAAAUAGGCUUCUUAUACCAAUAAGACAGAGAUUGGUAGUGGAUGAAAAAGAACCUCACUAUAUGCUGCCUACAAGAAACUCAAUUCAACUGGAACAAUAUAGGUAGGUUGAAUGUAAAAGGAUGCAAAUGUAUUUGCCAUAUAGACAUUAAUCAAAAUCAAGCAAGAGUGAUAUAUUGAUACCUGAUAAAAUGGAUGUUAGAGCAAAGAAAAUUACCAGGAACAAAAAGAGACGUUACAUAAUAAGAAAAGAAUCAACCCACCAAGAAAAUAUAAACUAAA